rnacentral:rRNA from 1 species
CGGCAGCAUGAUCUAGCUUGCUAGAUUGAUGGCGAGUGGCGAACGGGUGAGUAAUACAUCGGAACGUGCCCUGUAGUGGGGGAUAACUAGUCGAAAGAUUAGCUAAUACCGCAUACGACCUGAGGGUGAAAGUGGGGGACCGCAAGGCCUCAUGCUAUAGGAGCGGCCGAUGUCUGAUUAGCUAGUUGGUGAGGUAAAGGCUCACCAAGGCGACGAUCAGUAGCUGGUCUGAGAGGACGAUCAGCCACACUGGGACUGAGACACGGCCCAGACUCCUACGGGAGGCAGCAGUGGGGAAUAUUGGACAAUGGGCGCAAGCCUGAUCCAGCCAUGCCGCGUGUGUGAAGAAGGCCUUAUGGUUGUAAAGCACUUUAAGCGAGGAGGAGGCUACUUUAGAUAAUACCUAGAGAUAGUGGACGUUACUCGCAGAAUAAGCACCGGCUAACUCUGUGCCAGCAGCCGCGGUAAUACAGAGGGUGCAAGCGUUAAUCGGAUUUACUGGGCGUAAAGCGCGCGUAGGCGGCUAAUUAAGUCAAAUGUGAAAUCCCCGAGCUUAACUUGGGAAUUGCAUUCGAUACUGGUUAGCUAGAGUGUGGGAGAGGAUGGUAGAAUUCCAGGUGUAGCGGUGAAAUGCGUAGAGAUCUGGAGGAAUACCGAUGGCGAAGGCAGCCAUCUGGCCUAACACUGACGCUGAGGUGCGAAAGCAUGGGGAGCAAACAGGAUUAGAUACCCUGGUAGUCCAUGCCGUAAACGAUGUCUACUAGCCGUUGGGGCCUUUGAGGCUUUAGUGGCGCAGCUAACGCGAUAAGUAGACCGCCUGGGGAGUACGGUCGCAAGACUAAAACUCAAAUGAAUUGACGGGGGCCCGCACAAGCGGUGGAGCAUGUGGUUUAAUUCGAUGCAACGCGAAGAACCUUACCUGGCCUUGACAUAGUAAGAACUUUCCAGAGAUGGAUUGGUGCCUUCGGGAACUUACAUACAGGUGCUGCAUGGCUGUCGUCAGCUCGUGUCGUGAGAUGUUGGGUUAAGUCCCGCAACGAGCGCAACCCUUUUCCUUAUUUGCCAGCGAGUAAUGUCGGGAACUUUAAGGAUACUGCCAGUGACAAACUGGAGGAAGGCGGGGACGACGUCAAGUCAUCAUGGCCCUUACGGCCAGGGCUACACACGUGCUACAAUGGUCGGUACAAAGGGUUGCUACACAGCGAUGUGAUGCUAAUCUCAAAAAGCCGAUCGUAGUCCGGAUUGGAGUCUGCAACUCGACUCCAUGAAGUCGGAAUCGCUAGUAAUCGCGGAUCAGAAUGCCGCGGUGAAUACGUUCCCGGGCC